AUUGAACGCUGGCGGCAGGCCUAACACAUGCAAGUCGAACGAGUGGCGGACGGGUGAGUAAUUUCUGGGAAACUGCCUGAUGGAGGGGGAUCACUACUGGAAACGGUAGCUAAUACCGCAUACCAUCAUAUUUGCCCAGAUGGGAUUAGCUUGUGGGUGGGGUAACGGCUCCCCAAGGCGACGAUCCCUAGCUGGUCUGAGAGGAUCACCGGCCACACUGGAACUGAGACACGGUCCAGACUCCUACGGGAGGCAGCAGUGGGGAACAUUGCACAAUGGGCGCAAGCCUGAUGCAGCAAUGCCGCGUGUGUGAAGAAGGCCUUCGGGUUGUAAAGUCCUUUCAUCGGGGAGGCGUUACCUGCAGAAGAAGCACCGGCUAACUCCGUGCCAGCAGCCGCGGUAAUUC
rnacentral:rRNA from 1 species